rnacentral:misc_RNA from 1 species
GGAAGGAUCAUUAGAGGCUUCUUUUAUUUUUUAAAAUAACAACAACAACAAAAAAAACCCUUUGUCCUUUUUUAUAACCCCCAACCAUUUACUUUUUUCUUUUCCUCUUUUGAGGGUGGAAAAGAAAAAGGGGUUGGAUGGUUAUGCAGGGCAAAGUUUUUCUGUCCUUACCCUCAAAACGAUUUUUCUUUUUUUUUUACUCUUUCCUUUUUUUUAAUGUUGUAAAAAAUUUUUACAACCCUUAACGGUGGAUGACUCGGCUUCCGUAACGAUGAAGAACGUAGCAAACUGCGAUAAGUGAUGGAAAUUGCAGAAUACUUCGACUCAUCGAAUCUUUGAAUGCAACCUGCGCUCUUCGACCCUUGUGGUUGAAGGCGUACUUGUUUGAGCUCGGUUUUCACAACCACAAAAAUAUCUUUUCUCCCCCCCUCUCUAACAAAGAGGGAGAGAGAAAGGGACGUUGAGAGUUUACCGAUCAAAAAAAAAAGGGGUAAUCUCUUUAAAUUCAGACCCAAGGUGGAACUUGGAAAAAAAAACCUUGAUACCCUUCGUGUAUUAGGAUUUCUAAUCCUCUCUCGAAAUGUUCCCCUUAAAAAAACCUUUGGUAGAAACAAUUUGAUUUGUUUUUGGUUUAAGGUUUUUUUAAAAACAAAAGGAGACUUUUGAGGGUUCCGAAGACUUUUAAGGAAUUUUUCUUUUUUCCUUCCUUUCAAUACUGAGCUUAAGGGCUUUUUUUCAAAAGCCCCUAAGAAAAAAAAACACUUUAUUUUCACCGACUCAAAUCAAGUACGAUGACCCGCUGAAUUUAAGCAUAUAAUUAGGCGGAGGAAAAGAAAAUAACAAUGAUUCCCCCAGUAAUGGCGAAUGAAGAGGGAAAAGCUCAUCCUGAACCUGUGGGGACUAGUCUCCUCACCGGAAUGUAGGGUGUCGACCAGCCUUAGUAGGCUUCCGUCUCCGACAGAAAUCCCCUGGAAAGGGGUACCAUAGAGGGUGAUAGUCCCGUAUGUCAUUAAGGGGAUGGGUGUUUACGACCUUAGGUUGGAUCGUAGAGUCGAGUUGUUUGGGAGUACAACUCUAAUUGGGUGAUAAACUUCACCUAAAGCUAAAUAUCAACGGAAGACCGAUAGCGAACAAGUACCGCGAGGGAAAGUUGAAAAGAACUUUGAAAAGAGAGUUAAAUAGUACCUGAAACCGUUAAGGGGUAAGCGAUCGGCACCAUCUACAAAGAUUUACCUAGCCAUUCAGCCUAUGGCCGUGUAGGUCCAGGUUGCGUGAGUCGGUCUUCGGAUCGACCUCUGCAGCCUGGACCGAAGCGGUCGUGGGUGCACUUGGUUGGGUGCUAACGUAUCCAUAGUCACUUGUGGUUUUCAGGGGGGAAACACCCGAAUAAGGUGCCUCAGGGGGGUACAUGGUCAAUGAUCAUGGAUGCCCUGGGGCUAAGUGCCUACCCUCUGCACGAGUGAGGGUCUCUAAAGAGACAGGAGUGGGGGUAUUCUUGGAUAGGGAUCGCUUUUCAGUUGCGACCCGACGCCGGAUCCCACUCUCGACUAUGGACAACGAUGGAAUCGAUCGUCCCGUCUUGAAACACGGACCAAGGAGUGCAUAUGAUGGGCGAGUCUUAGGGUGAUUAAAACCCGAGGGCGUAAUGAAAGUGAACAUGCACCUGAAACCCUCAAAUUUUUUUUGGGGGGACUGCAAGGUGGACCGGUCUCAGCUUACGAGAUGAGAUCCGAGUAAGAGCCUAUCUUAUGCGACCCGAAAGGUGGCGAACUAUGCCUGUGUAGGACGAAGCCAGAAGAAAUUCUGGUGGAAGUUCGUAGCGGUAUUGACGUGCAAAUCAUUCGUCAAACAUGGGUAUAGCGGCGAAAGACUAAUCGAGCCGCCUAGUAGCUGGUUCCCUC